GCCGCUUUAGCUCAAUUGGGAGAGCGUUCGACUGAAGUCAGUCAUACAGAAUUGUUAUCGAAAGGUCGCCCGUUCGAUCCGGGCAAGCGGCA